rnacentral:rRNA from 1 species
AGAGUUUGAUCCAGGCUCAGGACGAACGCUGGCGGCGCGCCUAACACAUGCAAGUCGAACGAGAGGAGAAGGAGCUUGCUUCUUCGAUCGAGUGGCGAACGGGUGAGUAACGCGUGAGGAACCUGCCUCAAAGAGGGGGACAACAGUUGGAAACGACUGCUAAUACCGCAUAAGCCCACGGGUCGGCAUCGAUCUGAGGGAAAAGGAGCAAUCCGCUUUGAGAUGGCCUCGGCGUCCGAUUAGCUAGUUGGUGAGGUAACGGCCCACCAAGGCGACGAUCGGUAGCCGGACUGAGAGGUUGAACGGCCACCAUUGGGACUGAGACACGGCCCAGACUCCUACGGGAGGCAGCA